rnacentral:rRNA from 1 species
CAAUAAGCGGAGGAAAAGAAACUAACAAGGAUUCCCCUAGUAGCGGCGAGCGAAGCGGGAAGAGCUCAAAUUUAUAAUCUGGCACCUUCGGUGUCCGAGUUGUAAUCUCUAGAAAUGUUUUCCGCGUUGGACCGCACACAAGUCUGUUGGAAUACAGCGGCAUAGUGGUGAGACCCCCGUAUAUGGUGCGGACGCCCAGCGCUUUGUGAUACAUUUUCGAAGAGUCGAGUUGUUUGGGAAUGCAGCUCAAAUUGGGUGGUAAAUUCCAUCUAAAGCUAAAUAUUGGCGAGAGACCGAUUGCGAACAAGUACCGUGAGGGAAAGAUGAAAAGCACUUUGGAAAGAGAGUUAACAGUACGUGAAAUUGUUGGAAGGGAAACGCUUGAAGUCAGACUUGCUUGCCGAGCAAUCGGUUUGCAGGCCAGCAUCAGUUUUCCGGGAUGGAUAAUGGUAGAGAGAAGGUAGCAGUUUCGGCUGUGUUAUAGCUCUCUGCUGGAUACAUCUUGGGGGACUGAGGAACGCAGUGUGCCUUUGGCGGGGGUUUCGACCUCU